AUUUCAGUGUUACUUUACUAAUCAUACCUACAGCAUACUACGUCAGAUGUUGUUUUUGAUUCAAAUUAGACUUUGGAUCUCUUACUCCUAACAAUAGUAUAUCAACACAGCACAGACGCCAUUUUUUCAGACGUGGAAGAAUUUUCGCGUCAUAUACAAUAUUACAAUUAAAUAAAAUUCACGUUUGUUCGGGACAAAAUGAAAACGUCUAUCUCGACCAUCAGUGUUUUAUUUCUAUGCCUCAUCUGUUCGUUCGCGGAGGUAAGCUGUAAAAAAAACAAAAAGAACCAAUCUUAUCAAGAAAUCUCCGAUGUCUUUAAUUCAACGUUACACAAAAUAGAAGAUGCAUUUGACCCCUACGUCAGUCAUGGGGAUCCGUACGCUAAUAAACCGACGUUUUGCAAUGCUCACUCGUGUGGUGGUUGUUCAGAUAAACCGUUCGAAAACAUUAACAAUUGCAUAAGAUGGUGCAGAGCACCGUGCCUGUGCAUAAGUCCCGCGGGCGGAAGAGGCGAUGACAUAAUGUGUGCAAAGUCCAGACACAGAAGGACCAACAUUAUGUGGUGAAAAUUAUUCGAAAAGGGAGAUGUGAAAUUCCGACGCUCAAAAAUUCGGAUACAGUAGUACAUGCAUGUAGACAGUAUAUUGACGGAUGAUUAAACAAUUAAUUUAAUCUAUAGGCAAUAUGAGAAGAGUUAGGUACACAAUGUUCAAUAUUUUAAAUUGUAUCAAUUCUUAAUACAAAAAAACACAUUAUACAAUUAAUAAACGAUUUAUAAAUUAACUGUUUAUCAAAUUAACUAUCUCAGCCAUAAUAUUAGCAUCAAUUUAAAAUAGUAUUGCAAACUCCAAAGAUAAGCAUUAACUCGUUUGAAUCCCACAUAUGUACCUACAUAAGCAAAAUUAAUUAUCUACAAUAAACAAAAUUCCUAAAUAGAACACGUUAAUGAUAACUGUAUUUUAAUACAUAAUUAUAAUUAUUAUGCUAUUUAAUAUCGUAUUGAAAGCUCUAAUAAAAAUACAAUAUUAAUUAUGAUUUAUACUCUAGAAGAUCUAUAGAAUACAAAAUUACCUAGACUUAUUAAGUGUAAUAAGUGUACCCAGGCGCGUACACAAAAAAAAUUUUUUUGGGGGGGUUUGCUUGUACAUUUUCAUACUUAUAUAAUCUAACUUAACCUAUAACCUAACAAGGAGUUUACACAAUUUCAAUUAUAGUACCAUUUAUUUCUUAUAAAAAACGUCAUACUUAAAAAAAAAAUUUAAUAAUUGUUAAAAACAUGUAUUUUUAUAAUAUAAAAUCUAAUUUUCGAGGUAGUCUUGCAAAUCUGUUAAUGACUUCGUCAAUAUCAAUGUUAUCGUUUCUAUAAAUAUUCAUGAGCGCUAAUCCUGUCAGCCGGUCUUGUCCAAUAUUAUUUCUCAAAUAGGUUUUCAGUCUCCGCAAUGUUGAAAAUGAACGCUCUGCAGUAACAGUCGUUACAGGCAAAG